GCUAUUAGUAAAAUAUUUAUAGUCUAGCCUGCUCACUGAUAAUUGUAUUAAAUAGCCGCGGUAUCCUGACCGUGCAAAGGUAGCAUAAUCAUUAGUUCUUUAAUUGAGAACUCGUAUGAAUGGUUGGACAAAAAAGAGACUGUCUCUUUUGUUAAAAUUGAAUUUAACUUUUAAGUGAAAAGGCUUAAAUUUUUCAAGGGGACGAUAAGACCCUAUAAAGCUUUAUAAAUAUAACAAUUUUAUAUGUAUUUAUGGACUUAUAAUUUUUUUAACUAUUUAUUUGGUUGGGGAGACGAAAGUAUAAUUAAAAUAACUGCUAUUUAAAAGUUACAGAAAUACUUGAUUAACUUGCAUUAAUUGAUCCUUUAUAAAGAUUUAAAGAUCAAGUUACUUUAGGGAUAACAGCGUUAUUUUUUCUGAGAGUUCUUAUCAAAGAAAAAGUUUGCGACCUCGAUGUUGAAUUAAAAUACCUUUAUAGUGCAGC
rnacentral:rRNA from 13 species